rnacentral:lncRNA from 1 species
GACUCUCAGCCCCGUGUUCUUUCCACCAUACAGAGUAGCACAAGUUACAAGGAAAGAAGUUUGGGCUCCCUGUGAAGAAGAGUUUUCUUAUACUCAGAACCAUUCAAAAAGUGGUUCCAAAAAUGGAACCAAAAAAGUGAUUCCAAAAAACCAAGUUCCCCAGCCCUGGGGAAAUCCAAGCAGAGUCCAGGCACCACCUUCCAGAAAUAUGGCAGGCACAAUUCAGGGUGAGGGGCUGGCCCUGAUAACAGUCCAACCUCUGUUCGUCUGUGAGAGACCAUUGAUAUUCAGGAAAACAAAACAUUUCUUUAAGCCUCAGUUUUCUCAUAUGAGAAACGGAAAUACUAAUAAUUCCCAGGUUGGAGGGUUUCUGUGAGACUGAAAUGAGAUAAUUCAGAUAAUGCAUGUAAAAUUAUUAGCACAGUACCUGGCACAAUAAAAGUAACUUCUGGCUUCCCGAUAACAUGUCCCUGGCACGCCAUCGGUAAUAAAGGCCAUGAAAGUUUUUCCUUGUGAACAUUCCACUUAGAAUCAUAAAAUAUUGAUGUCUGAGGCACCCCUGGAGGUCAUCUAACCAACCCGCCCGUGUUCCACAUGAAGGAGCACGGACUCUCUGAGGGCUCCACAGCCCAGUUGGGCCUAGAACUGCAGCACCAAGCUCCUCUGCCCUCUGUUGGCAGCCUGGUGUGUCCUCCUGCCAGCCGGGCCUCAGGGGAGGCAAGCAUACCAGAGCCCAGGGGAGGGCAAGGGGGCCAGGGCAGCACUUCUAACGGGCAACAGGAGAGAAAUCCGAACUGUCUGAUGAGAAAAAAAAUCAGAGUUUAUUGGUUGGAGUUUUGGCUGUGUGUACGUGUUGUGUGUGCAGAUGGAAGGGGGAUUGAAACCCAAUGAGACAAGGGAAAUUGAAGUUAAGGAAUAGAUUGUUUGGCUUAAUAUUUUUUUUUCUAAAUAAAGAAUCUGUAGGAAAUUAGAGCCAGGACUGGACUGUAAUUCUCUGAGAGCAGAGGAAGAGGAAGAGAAAGAUGAUAUGGCCCGAGACGGAGGAGAA